GAGUAGUGGCGAGCGAAAGCGGAAGAGACUAAACCUGUGGUGUGUGAUACCGGUUGAGGGUUGCAUCAUGGGGGUUGUGGGAGUCAGCGUGGCAGUUUCAAUCGACUGUCGAAGUGAUGUUCAAGCAUGUAGGUGAAGGCCUUGGGAUGGGCUGCCGGAGAAGGUGAGAGUCCUGUAACCGAAAUGUGUUUGACCGCUUGUUGGCCACCCGAGUAGCACGGGGCUCGUGGAAUCUCGUGUGAAUCUGCCAGGACCACC
rnacentral:rRNA from 11 species